rnacentral:rRNA from 1 species
GGUUUAAUCUGCCCACUGAAUCAUUAAAUGGCCGCAGUAUAUUGACUGUGCAAAGGUAGCAUAAUAAUUAGUUUUUUAAUUGAAAACUGGAAUGAAAGAUUGGACGAGAAAAAUACUGUUUCAAUUAAAUUAUUAUAUAAUUUUAUUUUUAAGUAAAAAAGCUUAAAUUUUAUUAAAAGACGAGAAGACCCUAUAGAGUUUAAUAUUUAAUUAAUUUUAAUUAUUUAGGAUUUUUAGAUUUAAUUUAACUGAAUAUUUUAUUGGGGUGAUAUAAAAAAAUAUUAAACUUUUUAUUAUUUUAACAAUAAUUAUUGAUUUUAUGAUCCUUUAGAAAGAUUUAAAAGAUAAAAUUACCUUAGGGAUAACAGCGUAAUUUUUUUUGAGAGAUCUUAUUAAAAAAAUAGAUUGCGACCUCGAUGUUGGAUUAAGGUAAAAAUUUAAUGGAGAAGUUAAAUGAUUAAGUCUGUUCGACUUUUAAAAUCUUACAUGAUC